rnacentral:rRNA from 1 species
ACAAGACGGUGGAGCAUGUGGUUUAAUUCGAUGAUACGCGAGGAACCUUACCUGGGCUCAAAUGUAUGUUGACGUAUUCUGAAAGGGAUACUUCUUCGGACAAUAUACAAGGUGCUGCAUGGUUGUCGUCAGCUCGUGCCGUGAGGUGUCGGGUUAAGUCCCAUAACGAGCGCAACCCCUAUCAUUAGUUGCCAUCAGGUCAAGCUGGGGACUCUAAUGAAACUGCCUACGCAAGUAGUGAGGAAGGUGGGGAUGACGUCAAAUCAGCACGGCCCUUACGUCCAGGGCUACACACGUGCUACAAUGGCCGGUACAAAGGGCAGCUACCUGGUGACAGGAUGCUAAUCUCAAAAGCCGGUCUCAGUUCGGAUCGGAGUCUGCAACCCGACUCCGUGAGGCUGGAAUCGCUAGUAAUCGCGCAUCAGCCAUGGCGCGGUGAAUACGUUCCCGGGCCUU